GAUGAAGAACGUAGUGAAAUGCGAUACGUAAUGUGAAUUGCAGAUUUCAGUGAAUCAUCGAAUCUUUGAACGCACAUUGCGCCCGCCAGUAUUCUGGCGGGCAUGCCUGUUCGAGCGUCAUUUCAACCAUCAAGCCUUCGCUUGUGUAGGGGCCCCGCGGCUGCCGCGGUCCCCUAAAUCCAGUGGCGGGCUCGUCGUCGUACCGAGCGCAGUAGACAUCCUCGCUCCGGGAACCCGACGGGUGCCGGCCGUGAAACCCCCCACAUCAAGGUUGACCUCGGAUCAGGUAGGAAUACCCGCUGAACUUAAGCAUAUCAAUAAGCGGAGGA
rnacentral:misc_RNA from 1 species